rnacentral:rRNA from 1 species
CCUACGGGCGGCAGCAGUGAGGAAUAUUGGUCAAUGGGCGCAAGGCUGAACCAGCCAAGUAGCGUGAAGGAAGAAGGAUCUAUGGUUUGUAAACUUCUUUUAUAGGGGAAUGAAGGGAUCCACGUGUGGAGAUUUGCAUGUACGUUAUGAAGAAGCAUCGGCUAACUCCGUGCCAGCAGCCGCGGUAAUACGGAGGAUGCGAGCGUUAUCCGGAUUUAGUGGGUUUAACGGGAGCGUAGUUGGUUUUUUACGUCCGCUGUUAAGGUUUGUGGCUCAACCUUAAAAUUGCCUUUGAUACUGGUCGUCUUGAGUGUCUUUGAGGUCGUCGGACUGCGUGGUGUAGCGG